rnacentral:rRNA from 1 species
UUCGUAGGUGAACCUGCGGAAGGAUCAUUAUCUAUUCCAUGAGGUGCGGUCGCGGCCCUCGGCGGGAGCAACAGCUACCGUCGGGCGGUAGAGGUAACACUUUCACGCGCCGCAUGUCUGAAUCCUUUUUUUACGAGCACCUUUCGUUCUCCUUCGGCGGGGCAACCUGCCGUUGGAACCUAUCAAAACCUUUUUUUGCAUCUAGCAUUACCUGUUCUGAUACAAACAAUCGUUACAACUUUCAACAAUGGAUCUCUUGGCUCUGGCAUCGAUGAAGAACGCAGCGAAAUGCGAUAAGUAGUGUGAAUUGCAGAAUUCAGUGAAUCAUCGAAUCUUUGAACGCACAUUGCGCCCCUUGGUAUUCCAUGGGGCAUGCCUGUUCGAGCGUCAUCUACACCCUCAAGCUCUGCUUGGUGUUGGGCGUCUGUCCCGCCUCUGCGCGCGGACUCGCCCCAAAUUCAUUGGCAGCGGUCCUUGCCUCCUCUCGCGCAGCACAUUGCGCUUCUCGAGGUGCGCGGCCCGCGUCCACGAAGCAACAUUACCGUCUUUGACCUCGGAUCAGGUAGGGAUACCCGCUGAACUUAAGCAUAUCAUAG